rnacentral:rRNA from 1 species
CCUACGGGUGGCAGCAGUGAGGAAUAUUGGUCAAUGGGCGCUAGCCUGAACCAGCCAAGUAGCGUGAGGGAAGACUGUCCUAUGGAUUGUAAACCUCUUUUAUCUGGGAGCAAAAUACACCACGCAUAGCGUUUCGCGAGUACCCGAUGAAUAAGCAUCGGCUAACUCCGUGCCAGCAGCCGCGGUAAUACGGAGGAUGCGAGCGUUAUCCGGAUUUAUUGGGUUUAAGGGGUGCGCAGGCGGAAGUUAAAGUCAGUGGUAAAAUUGAGAGGCUCAACCUCUUCGAGCAGUUGAAACUGGUUUUCUUGAGUGAGUGAGAAGUAUGCGGAAUGCGUGGUGUAGCGGUGAAAUGCAUAGAUAUCACGAAGAACUCCGAUUGCGAAGGCAGCAUACUGGAGUUCAACUGACGCUCAUGCACGAAAGUGUGGGUAUCGAACAGGAUUAGAUACCCGAGUAGUC